GAAUCUCCCUCACUCAGGAGAGAAAAGCUGCUGAGUACGUGCUUUGAACAGGUUUUAACUCAAAUUCUUGAUCUCUGUCAGGUAUUCCAAAGUUCAUGGACUCGUAGAAUAUGGAAGUCUUGGAAGGGACCUCCAAGGACCGUCAAGUCCAGCUCCUGGCCCUGCAGUGUGAUCCAAAGGCACCUACUCCACAGCAGAUUUCACAGAAUUUUCUUCAUUUUCAAAGAACAUCAUAUAUGACUUGGCAUUACUGAAGAGUUUUACUACAUGGUGUUCAUUGGGCUUUUGUGUUGAUGAAGAAAGCAAUAGAGUUGGUAAGAAGGCAAUUUCCAUCUAUUUGCUAUCAAGCUGAACUUGGGAAAGACUGGGAUUCAAGGACAUAAUGGAUAUCAACUUUAUCUAACAUGAAUUAUCCUUCUGCAUAAAAUAUUCAAUGCCAUCAUUCUUUAAGAUAAUAACAGAGUUAGCUUUCCUUGCAGUUUAACAUACAAUGUUUAAGUUGAGGACAUUUGAUCUUAUAUUGCUACUAAAUAUUAACUUUCAAAGUCACACACUUUAAUGUAUGGAAACAAAGGGUCUUACAGUUAUUAAGUGUUGUUUUUACAUAUAUGUCGUAUUUUAUUUACCUGUAACUGUUUAAAAUGCCUUAAUAUUUAAUUUUUCAUGCUAAUUUCUGGUUUGUUGCACAUUGUAAAGUACUUUUAUAAUACCUUUGUUUUGAUUUCUUCUAAAAUCUCAUGUACUUUGAUGGCACAGUAAAGAAAGCAUAAUGUAGCAAUUCAGCGAAGUAUGGCAGAUGUUUUGGCAGAUACAGGA